GUAAGUACAGGAUACAGUGUCCACAAUAUGUUACAAAUGUUCCCACCAGAUCUCUCCUACUUUAGAUUUCUCUAGAUCUGAAGAGGGAGACAAUGUGCACGUUAUGGAAAGCCUGCUGUGCUGUAACGAAGAAAAGAAUAAGGCUGAACUAUCUCUUGAGCUGCAUUCGGAGGCUCUGAACGCUAAACGAGAAGAUAGAGCUUCAGCAUCAGAAUGGCCUGGAGAAGAGGCUCCUGCUGAUUUCUCUGCUCACCUCGGGCACCGAAUGGAUACUUAAAUCGGAAAUACUGCAGCAGAGCAUCAGCGAUCAUGAUGAGUGAAACUCUGAGAACAGCAAACACCACAGGUCAUUCAAAUCUUAAAAGGGAGAACGAUGUUUGCAAAGCUAUUAUCUGAAACAUACAGCACAUCUUCCACUCUUGUCUUCAGUUCAAAGGUGAUUCUGCAGAAUUUGAGCUCAAAUGGAGUCGAGGCACCAAGAACUACUGGAUCUAACUCUCUGGGAACGGUGACAGAGAGACAGAGGAAGCCUCUCUCCCAGGAUUCACAGAAAGCCAAAGAGGAGUAUCAGAAACAGUUUUGUGUUGCUCCCGUCCCUGAGAAGGUCUCAAAGCCUCUUCAUGAUAACCUCAUCCAUGAACAAGAGCGCUUGAGGAAGGAAGGUCGUGAGCAGAGGAGAGAUUUCCUCUCGAACAUGCGGAAGCCCUUCAGUUUCCACAAGAGGAAGGAGAAGAAGCGAGAGAGGCUGAAGGAGGAGACGGCCUCUGCUGAUAAAAGGGAAAAAACAGAACCAGUUUGUGUGAGGAAACCAGUACCGAAAGAGCAGGAGCAGCAGAGGAAGAUUUGCAUUCAUCUGCGAGCUCAGGAGACUCUGAAAGCCUCCUCAGCACCCAUUCAAAGGCAGGAACCUAGUUUAGAAAGACCCACAGUGCUCAGAAGAGCAAAAGCAAGAUGCUGGGUUUCUUGGAAAAGAAGCUGUCCUUCAGACCUAAAACGAACGCUGCCAUGUCUGACUUCCAGGCCUUUCAGCACAAGGCAAUGGAAGGCAGCAGAGAGGAGAUAUCACUCACUCUAAACCCUUCCAGCUGUGCACAUUCACACCACAUGUUGCUAUUUGCAUUGAGUUUAGAUUUCUUUAAUGUAAUUCCUUUGAGUUUAAUAUGUAAUUUUCCAUGACUAGAAAUCUAGAGACAAGAUGAAUCUCAAGAGAAGCAGUUCAUUUGGUGCUUAUGCAACUGAUGCUGCCAGGAAAAGAUCCACGGCUGUGAGUGCAGGAAAUGGUGAAGACGAUGUCACAAAUGAAGAGGAAAAAGAAGGGAAUGUGGAAACCAAAGAGGAAGAGUGACAGACGUGACUGGUGGGUCAGUGUAUUUCACAUCCAUAUUCCAUAUGUGCUGGGGAGACUGUGGUCAGGCAACAAAUCGCUGGCAGAUCAUUUCAGUUUCGAAAAACCGUGUUGUGCAUGAUUAACAUGAUUGGUCAUUUAUAUUUCUUUUAUUUUAUCUUUUCUAUAUAUUACUGUAUUUUGUAUUGCUGUAUAUUGAAUCAGUGAGUGCCUUGAUACAGCUGAGCCCUCUUGUUUAUUAAUGUUUUUAAAAUAGUGUAGAGAUUAUGAAUGUUCAAGAAAUUCAUAACAUUUCU